AGUGGCUGGAGUGCACGGUGUCUGUCCGUGUUUAGCACUGCUGCCCUUCUGUGUCUUACAGUUGGUGCAGCAGUGCUCACUCCACACUUGCAGCCAUAGACACACUGGAGAUCAUAGUACUGGUCUAGUGACGUCUUCCUGACAUCCCACCACUGACCAGCCUCCAUACUCUCCUACAACA
ensembl:snoRNA SNORA23 small nucleolar RNA SNORA23